GGUUUCUCUCUCUCCUGGCACGAGCUCUCUCUCUCUCUCUCUCUCUCUCUCUCUCUCUUUGGGGGGCUCACGAACUCUCUGGGGGAGGACGCUCUCUCUCUCUCUCGCUCGAAAAAAAAAAGGACGAAGAAUCAGAGGGGAAGAAAGGGAAAAAUCGGUUAGGGCUCGGGUGGUCUUCGGAAAACGGAUUCUCCUCUGGCCGGCGGUGGCAACAAGGGGGGCGGACUCUCGUUCUCGAAUGGAGAUUUCCUCCUCUGAAAUGCUCUAAAAAACCGGAGAAAAUAGAGGAAUCACAGGCGGAGGAGUUGGAGGUGAGGGUUUUCCUCCAUGGGUGCGCGAUUGGAGGUGUUUCCUCUAUUCGGUGAGGAGUUUGCUCGGGGGAUCCGGUUUCCGAAACUGAUCGGCAUCGGUAGCAGUGACGGCAGCAACGGCAGAGCUUGAUUCGACCUCUUUCGUUCGUUAUUAACGGCCGGCUCGCUUCGGUUCGGACUUGGUGCUCCGAGCUCCGAGCUCCGAGGAUAGAGAUCUGAAGCUCGAUCAACGGCGGCUCUCUCUCGAUCUCUACCUUCUUCAGACUCCCUCAAACCUUAGAAGACAGAGCGAUUGCCGAUCGAAGAGUUGGAGGUGCGAGGCUCGGAUUCGCGCCGAGUUCGGAGAAAGCUCAGCAACGAUUUCCCUUUGAAUCGAGUCAUUUCCGAGGAUUUUUCCUCUUAGAUCUCGGCAAGUUUCAUUCAGAUUACUGAUUCGUUUUCUCUAGUAAAGUUUUUUUUUAGAAGUCAUCUCAUAUCCUCCAUUCCUUGCUGUUUUCUUUUGCUGGCGCCGAGCAUGUAUUUCCUCUCGCUGAUUCAACCAUUGAAAUCGCCGGCUAUUCAUUGAAGUCACCGAUUCAAUCGAAAUCUCACAAGGAGUUUGGAUCGGUCAUUACUCAAAAACAGAGACAAUCUUUUCAGAGUUCUUGAAGAAGCUGACUGAUAAAGCUGUUGAGGUAUGAAUAUCUGUGCUUGAAUAUGUCAAGACUUUCCUGCUGCGAAAUUCUUCUAGAGUUUAAAUCUUCUCAAAUAAUUGAUGCCUUAUGCGAUUGAUGGAUGGAUUAUGAUGAAAACGUGAGAAAGCAAGUUGUCACUGUUAUUUGCGAGUGGGGUUUACUUGACUUUUGUUCAGCCUAAUGUUCACCUUCUGUUGAAUAGAACUAUUCUAUUCUUCUCUUUUGAAAAGACUAAAAGAAACCAUUUAUACCUGUUCAUACUGUUCUUCAAUAGCAAGCAAUCGUUCGAUCAUACUCAUACCAAAUGUUUGAUCCCGCUCAGUUAAGUCUUCACAACCUGCAGAUAGCAUUAUUUGUCUACUGCGUUUUUCAUUUGGUUUAACUGGCAAAUCAAGAAUAAAUUCCAGCGGGUCCUUUCUAAUGAAGAGUUGUCCUAGUAACAAGUAUUAAAAAGGUGCUAUGGCCUCGUUCCCCCUUUAGUUUUUUUUUUUUUUUUAUGUUUUCAUCAUUGCAAAUCAAGCUGUACAAGCUAGACAUGCACCAGAAGAAUGUUGUCUCGUUUUAGUAGAAAUUAGUCCUCUGCUGCUGCUGUGUUCUUUUUUUAGAAUUCCUUGUUCAUAAUAUGGAAUGUGUUCUUUGCUAGAAAGUUGUGAGUUCAUUGGUACACUUCAAUCUGGAUUGCUUUCUAUAUUUUGCCCCUUGAUGAGCUUGUAAUUGUCAGUAAACCGAUAUGGUUGUGCGGCCAUUGGAAGAGUUUUUUUUUAUGCUCCUUUCUAGAAACUGCUGUCUUCUAUCGGUUGGGGUUAGUUGUUUGAAACAUGAUAGGCAAGCUACAAUUUUUGAUUUGGUUGUGUGUAUACCCAAUCGUGAUUUGUUCAUUUCUUUUUGCGCCUCUUUCGAUUUGAUUUGUGUAAAUGAGGUGUAUAUGUAAUGCAUGAAUGUUAUAUAGUCUCAAUGUAAGACAUGAAGAAUCAGCAUUGUUUGUAUCACUGUGCUUGCUGCCAUCUAUGAUUGUCUAGCUCGCCACGAAUAUACAUGUUACAUUGUGGUCACCUUGUUGUGUUUGUUGAGAAUUGCGUCAAUUCUUUGUGUGUUGCUUCAAUUCAUGACGAUUUGUCAUCAAAUAAUCACAAUUUAUAGUCUCAUGGGUUCUUUUACAAUUCUGAUUGCAUGCUGGAAUUUGUGGAUUAAGCAUUGAUUAGAUGGACAUACAUGUAGCAUGAACACGUUCAAUGAUGCAUAUUGUUUUGUGAAUGAUCUUUUGUCACCUAAUUCAUUUGCUUGAUUGAUUGAGAACCAAGGUUAUAUGACUUGAAUGUCUGUCAUAUUAUAUGCCUUGCAUGUGAUCAUUUGAUGAAUGGUUUUGGUGUGACACAUAUCAAUGCUGAACUUUAGGAUAUCACUCGAAACUUGAUUCCGUAUUGUACUUCUUUUAAACAAUUGUUUUUGAUACGAUGUAUUGUUUUUGGUUGCUUGAUGUGUUUGAUUGUUUCUUUUAUUUGUACGCACCUAGUUAUAGGUUUUCUUAGAUUAGAUUUAGAUUAGAACCUCGAAGGUGUAAGGCGUGAAGAUGGUGAAGGUCGAUGUCCAUUCCGACCAUUGUCAUGUACUUUUUGUUUUCCCGAUAUAUGUCUCGGGUUCUAUGCAUUGUAUAAAACCCGACGAGUUGCGGGUUUCCUUUCUUUCUCGAUUGUUUUCUUUUUUAUAUUCUUUAGAAUUGCAUGAUUAGGUUUAUUGUUUUCUAUUGAUUGUUUACUUCAUGUCUUGUGCUUUCAAUUUCAUUGAUUGUUUCCUUUUUUUUUUUUUUUUUAGAAAUAGAAUAGAAUGAAAUAAAUCUGCUACGCAUGAUCACUUAGUUUAGGAAUUGAUGAUCCUAAAAAAAUGUAAAAAAAAAACGCAUGGACAUGUUAGGAACAACACAACAUGCUGUUUAGGUACCGAAAGGGCGUUAAUAGCAAUAUUAGCGUAACCCAAGUCCCCGAACCUGGAUAUCUGGUUGCGUAGGAAUCGAGGGAACACUCCCGACCCUCGAUUGGGUUUCUAGCCGACCCCCAAAGUUGAGGCUAGUGGCGACUCCCGUCUAUUUUUAGGUUGUCAUAAAUAAGUAGAUCGUAUAAAUAAAUCCGUUGUCACGCGGGGUAUGAGUUUCGAUGAAACUCACUAUGGUUUAGCAUACUCGAUGUGGGGGUAGCCCAAAGGAUGAAGUGAUGCCAUCCUAAUGGGUGGAGCGUACUAUCGAGAGGGCUACCAUGGUAAAAGUACCCUUAGAUUCGAUAUCCACAUUCGACUCCCUUUUUUAGGUGUGUCGCUUAUGUGGGUAUGGAUCGCGACAUUCCGCUGUCACGCGGGGUACGAGCUUGGGAGAGCUCGCGAUCUCGUAGAGGGAACUCAUGAGAGGCUUGAUCCAAAAGGCGAGGUGAUGACGUUGUUUGGAAUGCAAGCCGUGAGGGAACUUUCGUGAUCAUGUACCCCUAAACCCGACCUUUCCCAACCUUGGAUACCAUUUCGAGGGGCGGCAAGAUCGGGUCGCGACAGGCUUGGCGACUCCGCUGGGGACUGGUUACUAGGUUAAGAGGACUUGAAGCCGUUUAAAAAUGGUUGUUGAAUUUCUCCAACUCCUUGCUCAGUUCCUUCAGACGCAUUUUGGUCACCAUUUUCAGACCUACCACCAUAUGAUCGCAUGGUCGAACACAAAAGAUUUGUGGAGGCUGAAUAUUCAGAUGUCUGAAUAACUUCGUAAUAAGGCUUGGAUAAGAGAGUUGACCUAUGUCCUUCAUCAUUGCUCUAUACAUGUGAAACAUCACAGUGUGAGGGAGAGAAAACCUUUUUCCAAAGAGAAUGGCAUACAUCAGCUUGGCCUCUGAACUUGAAACAUCAGUCUUAGAAGUUGAUUUCGGUCCGAGUCAAUUAAUCACAAUCUUGUGAAGCAAGAUGUUAAAUGCACCCAUCCUUAAGUAGGUGAUAUUUUCAUCUGUUUUUCUGUCCUUCACCAGUUCAAGUAUGGCCCGAGCAAUGGAAACUUUGAUUGGCUGAUAUCUUCCUCUUUCUACUUCUAACACAUCUGCCAGCAUAUUCAUAUCCACAACAUAGUCUUGGUCUUUAACGCUGAAAGAGAAUCUAUUCGCAUCCAAAAAGCUUAGAUUUGAAUAAAAAUAUGCAGUUAAUUCAGCAUAUGCCUCUAUAGAGUCAGAGCAGAACUUUUCAAGUUGAAGAUAACUGAACUUUUCCCUCAAGUUCACAUUCACAGCAUCCAGAAAAUCAAAAUCCACACUCCUGGGGUUUAUUACCCCCACGCUUCAGCAAUUUCGAGUACAGAUCCUUUUGCUCCUUUGAUCUGAACAAAUCUCCCCUUUUUCCUUGAUUUUCAACUGCAACACCCAUUUUCGGUUGAAAUUGACUGUAUAAUUUAUCAUCAUCAUUCCCAUCUACAGGAUUCGGCCCCCAGUCACGAGGAUCACUUGGGAUAUUUGCAAGGGUUUCCUCAGCAACCCCUUUUCAAGCUAUUCCCAAAUUUUCCAUUUUUCGUAGAAAGAUAUAUUCGUUCCCAUGUCCUUUGUCUUUAAGAAAAUCAUCAAUGUAGUUCAAAGGAGUACGAAUUCCUUUUAGGGCACAAUAUAACUGGUAAAUAUAAGCGGGCUUUUGAACUCUUACAG
rnacentral:lncRNA from 1 species